GACGAACCGUGCGAACGUUAUUCGGAAUCACUGGGCUUAAAGCGCGUGUAGGCGGGACGGCACGUCGGUCGCUGAAAUCCCCCGGCUCAACCGGGGAACGGGCGCCGAUACGACCGCCCUGGAGGGCGUAGGGGGACCUGGAACUUCCGGUGGAGCGGUGAAAUGCGUUGAGAUCGGAAGGAACGCCCGUGGCGAAAGCGAGGUCCUGGACGCUUACUGACGCUGAGACGCGAAAGCCAGGGGAGCGAACGGG
rnacentral:rRNA from 1 species